AGAGUUGGUCGAGCUAUCGCUUAGCUUUGCUAAGAGGAAAGUCCGGACUUCACAGAGUAAGGUGCCAGUUAACUGCUGGGGAACGUGAGUUUACGGAGAGUGCAACAGAAAAUAGACCGCCAAAUUGGUAAGGGUGAAAAGGUAAGGUAAGAGCUUACCGCUCAAAGUAACAUUUGAGGCAUUGAAAACCCCACCUGAAGCAAUGCCAAGUAGAGAUUANAUUGUGUUACUCGCACAUAAUCAGGGUAGGCAGCUUGAGUACUUUGGUGACAAAGUACCUAGAUAAAUGAUAGCUAAAACAGAAUCCGGCUUAUAGACCAACUCUAUUC
rnacentral:RNase_P_RNA from 1 species